AGUGAACGCUGGCGGUAGGCCUAACACAUGCAAGUCGAACGGCAGCACAGGAGAGCUUGCUCUCUGGGUGGCGAGUGGCGGACGGGUGAGGAAUACAUCGGAAUCUACUCUGUCGUGGGGGAUAACGUAGGGAAACUUACGCUAAUACCGCGUACGACCUACGGGUGAAAGCAGGGGACCUUCGGGCCUUGCGCGAUUGAAUGAGCCGAUGUCGGAUUAGCUAGUUGGCGGGGUAAAGGCCCACCAAGGCGACGAUCCGUAGCUGGUCUGAGGGGAUGAUCAGCCACACUGGAACUGAGACACGGUCCAGACUCCUACGGGAGGCAGCAGUGGGGAAUAUUGGACAAUGGGCGCAAGCCUGAUCCAGCCAUACCGCGUGGGUGAAGAAGGCCUACGGGUUGUAAAGCCCUUUUGUUGGGAAAGAAAUCCAGCUGGCUAAUACCCGGUUGGGAUGACGGUACCCAAAGAAUAAGCACCGGCUAACUUCGUGCCAGCCGCCGCGGUAA
rnacentral:rRNA from 1 species